CUUGCAUUUAACCUGAUUUUUAUUGUUUGUGUCUAUUCUAGGUUUUUGGAUGUUGCUGACUAACCAUUGAAAAUUCUAUCUCAUCUAGUUCCCAGGCCCUGAGGAUGGUACUUAAUGCAGAUGAAGGACAUGCUAGCAGAACAGCUGCAGAAGUUUUGGAUAACUUUGAAAAUUCUUGUACCUACAGGCAGCAUCAUGGAUUUUGUUCAGAUUUAUGGGAGACUGCCUAGACUAAACAGCUCAUAUUGCAAGCAGGAAAAGUCACUCUGCUCAAUUCAUUUUGAAUUAGAUCCAUCUCUUACUG
rnacentral:lncRNA from 1 species